GGUGUCGUGGCCGAGAGGUUAGGCAGCGGUCUGCAAAACCGCGUAGCCGGGUUCGAUUCCCGGCGACACCUCCA
rnacentral:tRNA from 1 species